CGAGGGGUGGGUGUUGCAGUGCGGCGGGAGAAGCUGCGCGGGGUGAUUCCCUCAGCUGAUGGCCGGGGAGUUGCAAAAAUGGACAUUAAAUGAAGCUACUCGUUGCGAUAGGUUGGGAUCACAAACAUCCCGUUACCUCAUCUCAGCUAAAGGCGUCUGUGGAAAUGCUCUGUCACUGUAAUAACGAGUGAACUCUGUGGCUUCGUUGGCUGAAGCAGUGCCUAAAGGUUUAAAACUUUCAGCCUUAUAUUUAAGUGUAUUUCUGAAGGGUUCUUCACCAGUGGUAGAAGGGCAAUGUGAGCAGCCAUGAAUAGCACAUAAAUAGAAAGCACAGGAGCUGUACCAGGACAGCAACGUUAAAACCGCCUUCAGGUGAGCAUGGACCACAUCAACAGGACAGAGGUGUCUUUAUUGGAUCCUGUUGGUACAGAAGGGUUUUGUGCUGGGGAUUACAGCAGAACUCUGGAGGAAAAGAUGUCCUGAAGCUGCUGACUUCAUUUUGGUUUUCUCUGGUGCUUCUAAAAGCAGUAAGCACUUUAAAAGACGCUAACGAAUGCAAUUUGUGUGGGAGAGGUGUUGGUCUUAUCCCUACUGUGUGGGCUGACAGCCCAGGACAGCAUGGUAUCAUUCUCUACAUCGUAAGUUUUUUACAGCUGAGAGGGAUUUUGAGUGGCCUUCCUGGAUGUCACCCAGCAAAGGGGUGGCAUAGUUGGGCAGGGAGCCUCCAAGUCCUGGGUGUGCGUUCCCUGAUGUGGACUGAGUGCCAGGAGAACAGCUGAACAUACAGCCCAUGUCCGUCACGCGCCCACAGGUCUUGGGGGAGUCUGGGUUAUUCCUGGGUGCUGAGAGAGACAUUGCUCUGUGAAUUUAACAUAGCUUCAAGCAGGACAUGCAGCCUUGCUGCUAUUCUGCAUUCUCUGCCUCCACAUCACUGUUGUCUGUGAGAGGGAAAUCCCACAGGGGCUUCUGAGCGGUGGAGCUUUUGGUUUGCAUGGGGCCUUCCUGGCUUAAGAUUGCCUACAUAAAAGAGAGAAGUGAUGCUUUAGUAAAAAUGGCCAUUAAUUUUAAGAAUAAAUGGAAGCGUUACUACCUUUAGAGAAAGCCAAAGCAACCAACAACUUUUGCCCAGGGAACACAAGCUAUGAAUUAAGACGACACAGUCCCUGGCUAAUUUAUCCUAAUUCCCUCCACAUAUCUCUGGAUUAUCAAGCUCCUAUACUUUAGGGCAAUAAAGUACACUCACUAUCUUCUCCUCUUUAGCAGGAGGGCUUCGCAAGAACCAGCAGAGAGGAGCAUAAGCAAUGUUGGUAACUCCAAUGAUGACCAUCAGCCAGGGAAACCCAAUAGCUCGUACGAUCGCGCCGCCUGUUGAUGGACCUGCACAUUGAAACAUGAACAAAGGCUCAGGAGGCAGGAAAAGAGCAAAAGGUGCUCUUCUACUUUGGAGGGGGUCUGAAGUCUGCAGUGGCUGUCCUACAGACUCAGUUCCAGUUGCUGCCAUUAAACACUGGGUGGAAGAACACAUUGAGAACAUCACCCCAUACCAAUUGCAAAGCCCAUGCAGAAGGCAACAUCUGCGAUGGCAUAGACAUUGCCGUAGACAGAGGUGUGGCGAAGGUCCACGAGGUAACCCAUAAUAGGCAUCAUGGAGGAGUCCACCAUUCCUGCCCAGAGCAAGCACGAUAUCAUGAGGUAUUGCCUUUUCCCAGAGCAGUGCUGGGAAUUGUACAGACUGACCACUUACCUAUGGCGAAGCCAAGCCCACCAUUUGGGCCAAUCAGCCCAUAAAUAUUUUUUGCCAGAGGUACCUUAGAGAGGAAAGAGAGAAGGUGUGAAUGAGGCCAGAAGAGCUCCAAGGUGAGGAGGCACAGCAUAGUUCUGUGAGAAAGGUCUGUGGUGCCAUCCCUGAGCAGGUCUCAGAGCUGCCCUGCAGUACUCACACAGAGCAGACUGAUCCCCACCACAGCCAUACCGAUCAGGGAGCACAGCCACCUGCAAGGAGGGCAGCAGAGGGUGAUGCCUUCAGCAUAUGCAAGCAGGAUCCUUGCUGUGGUCGCUGCUGUUCGCUUACCGGCCUAUUUUGUUAGCCAGGAGCCCGAAGAGAUUGGUUCCAAUGAGUGAAAAGCACAUUGUAUAGCUACCAACAAGGACAUUUCCUGCUGAAACCGGAGCAGCACACAGCCUGGCAUCACUCUGUGGGAAUAUGUUUUCUUCCUUUUAAGAUGAUAUAAGAGAUAUUCAGCCCAUCCCGCAGUGCCCAGCAGGAUCCACUCUGGCCAAACUGCAUCAAGCUACUGCUGAGGAGCACGGACUGCAAAGUGAAGCACCUACCAAGCUGCCAUUUGGGGGAGCACAUGGUUUGCAUCAUCCAGAUGGGCAAGGUGGGCUCGAGCAUGGCCACCCCCAUGUUGGAGAAGCAGAGGGCUCCUGGUGAGGAGAGAAGGGAAAGUGUCUGUUUAAGGCUUCUCCUACUGCUGUGUUGAGUAGGAACAAGGAAAUGGGGCAAUUGGGAACGCAGAGGUUACCUGCAGCCACCAGCACAUAGGGGUCCCGCAGCAGGGUGAGCACUGGUGUGCCUCUGGUGCUCUGCUUGAGAUGGGGGCUUAGGGAGCUGCAGGUGGGGGCUGAGCCACCCCCACCUGCAGCAUCUGCCCCAGCAUCGUGCCCAUACUCACCUCAGGGGAGACCUUGGAGGGCUGCAGAAUGCACAGCUGCAAACCUGGGGAGGGGGGGGGAACAGUGCUGUCAGUAUUGCUCCAAGCCAAAUUUCCCUGUGGCUUUUCCUUCAGGGGGGCACCAAUCAUUGGCAGAGCCCCAAGAAUGCAAAGCUGUGCUGUUGGGGCAUCAUCCAGGGAGCUGUCAGCUGCGGGAUUUCAAAUGGGGCAUGGCCAAAAUGAGACAUGGAAAAGAAUGGGAUGAAAAAAAACAAGCUUCAAACACAGGGAGCUUACAUUUCACUUUCCGGAGUCUCUUACAUGCUCCAUUAAAGAUGUCUUACAUUACAUCUAGGCAAAGAUGGUAACUGUGAAUCUAAUUUAAUUAGCUUAAUACUUUCCACUAAAAAUAUGUGUUUCUGCUAUCUGUAAUUCUGAAUGCUGUCGUGGCCUGAAUCUGUAACACAGCUACAGAGAGAGAGUAGGGAUUGCCAUUCACAGGCAACAUCCCAUUUCUUUGUAUUAUGAUGAAGAUGCUGCAGGCAGCACCACGUGUGCCUUCUACAGAGAAAUUCUGUUCAUAGAGCUUGACUGAUGUGCUACUUGAGCCAUUAAAGCAAUCAAAGGGGUCAUUAAGUAAUGAGGGACUAAUUCGUACUGUAUUGCUGUGUCACACAUCUGGUGGUGGGAAGCAUAUGGUUUAGCAAUAAGAGAGUAACUGAUGCUGUAUUAAUUGUGAGAGCCCUGAGAAGUUCUUCCUGAGGUGGCUGCAUUUUGGUCUUUCCACGUGCUUUGGUUUAUGGUUGGGUGAGUUGUUUGCUUUUGGGUUGGGUUAACUACGUGACCCCUCACCUCCAUCCAGCAGGGCUAAGAAAGCCAGGACCAGGAAGGGGGAGGCUUUCCCCACAAACUCGUACAUCACGCUGCCGAACGGGGCCCCGACUGCAAGGGAGAGGCUGUGUCACCAUGCAGCAGGCAACUGGCUUUAACCCAAACCCAUGUCUAGUGAUGGACUAUACCGGUGGAACCACGGGAAAUGGAUGGGGAGCAGAGACUGGGGUCCCCUUCCCCCCUCCCCCAGGGCUGAACCAAGGAUGCUCAGCAGCACCAAGCAGCAAAGCAUGGGGAUACUGUGGGUGUAGAGCCCCUGGCAGCCACAGGUCCUUACUCAGCACACCCAAGGCCAACCCUCCAAGGGCGAUACCCAUGGCGUUGCCUCUCUCAAAGUCGUCUGUGUAGAUGCUGGCCAGCAUGCCCAAGCCUGGGAGCAGAGAGAACCCGAGGUGAUGACUGAACCCAACUGGCAUAGGGCUUCAUGGCAUGCAGUGACCCAACAUGCUCACCUGCAACUGAUGAGAAGGAGGAACCAACACCUUGUAGAGCACGAGCGAUGAACAGCAGCAUGUAGGUGCCAGAGAAUGCAAACACUGCAGAAGGAGAAACACAGUGCCCAGCAGAGCUGCACAUCUAAAGCCCUGCUGAAGUGCAGCAGCAACCACUUGUGCCCAGCUGAGUCCUUCCCUGUCCCCUGCUUCUCAUGCAUGGGGACAGGGCAGGUGGUUGUCUCCUUUGCUGCUUUCAUUUUGGGGCAUCCUACUGUGUGUGAAGGGCAAAUCAGGGGCGGUACUCACUGAGCGUGGAGAGGAACAUGAUGAUGAAACCAAUGAACAUGGGAAUGUGGUAUCCUAUCCUGGAAUGAGAGAAAAGUAUGUCUGGUACAGCUAUGCCUAUGUGUACUGAAGUGUUUUGGUAUGAUGUUGAGCAUUAGUGAGGCUUAUUUUAUAAUGCAAGCUUGCAAACCAUUUGUAGGCUCUUAAAAAAGGCAGAAUUCAUUCCUAUUGUGGUGCUUGCACUCUCCUCUUUGCUAUUCUCUCACCGGAUCCCAUCAUUAUAUAACUGCAGAUCUUUGCCACUUGACUAGCAAGCAGUAGAUUGCAGACAUACCUGUUGGUCAGCAGCCCCACGCUGGGGUUGACCAGGAGCUGGACGAGAGCCUUGGAGGCAAAGAGCAGCCCCACACGCAUGUUCUCCUGCGUGAGGAAUUCCUCACCCUGUGGGCAGCCAUUGGGUGGUGGGGAGCUCAUGGGGAGAUGCUGUGAGUGCCUGGCGCUGGUCCCUUUCUGCAGCUCCACAGUGCUGUGGGAGUCCAAGGUUGUUAUGGUGCCGAUGUCAAAAUAGGAGGACAUGGGGGAGAAAGGAUCUUCGAUGGCUGAGGGAGGUGACUCAGAUUGAUGUGGGGCAGCAGAGCUGUUGGCACCUUCAUAUUCUGUUGUAUAAAGGAAGGUGGGGAUGAUAGGCACUGGGAAAAAAGCCAAGGAGAGUGUUCAUCAGUGGGUUUGCUUGAUUCUGUGGCUCAGCAUGCAUAUGAACUGGAUGGUGCUAUCUCAGUGUUGAUGCUUGGAAGCUCCUUCCCCCAUCCUUCCCCAUGGCUGUCCCCAUUGCUGUCUCACUGCCUGUCCCCGCUGCUCUUCCCUGGCAUGCCCCUACACCCAUCCCCACUCCUGUCCCCACACCCAUCCCCAAUCCUGUCCCCAUGCUUGUCCCCAGCACAGACCGCCAGCUGCCCGCAGCCAUCCCUGCAGUGCUCACCCUACCCACAACAGUCAGCAGCAUAUUGUCCAGCAGCAGUGCGACGAACACCACCACCAGCACCAGCCUCCGUGAUGCCCGGCCCUGUGCCAGCCAGCUCUGGGGCGUGGGGAUGGCUGCUGGGGGCAUUGCUGGGGCUUGGUCUCCUGGCUCCACUGUCAGGGCCAGCAAUGUCUUGCAACCUUGGGAGAAGAUGCUGUGGGUUAGCACCUCCCUCAGGUUCACGACUUAUCUCCUACAUGAGCUGGGUGCUGUUCUGAGAAGCAGAGAGUUCCAGCUUUGCUCUCAAAGACUCCACUUUCAUCCAGCUCACAUUUAAUGCUGCAGUCAGGAGACAGAGUGCUCCCCAGCCCUUUUACAUUCUCUUGAGACAUCUUGUACCCUGCUGCAAGCAUCAUCUCAGUAUUCCUUCAAAGACUCAAAGCAUAAAUCAAGCUGGUAGCUUAUCUGUGCUAAUCUCUACAUCUUGUAUUCCAUGUAUGUUCUUUGGAGAUUAAAUUGGGUCUCAAAGGAAAUUUACUCACUUUGCAUGUCUUUUCAUUUGACCUAAUAGAAAUGUCACAGCAAGAUGCGGGACUUAAAAGCCUAACAUACAGGAUUAAGGUUGGAACUUGUUCAGUCAUACUGAAAUAUCCAUCAGAAGUUUGUACCAACCCAACUGAUCAAUUAGCAUUUGGGUUCCUAUAGCUUGUGGCUGCUUUAGCAACAAAGCAGCAACAUGAGCAGAGCGGAGCCUGAGCUACAGCUGCCUCCAACACUCUUGGGAUUUCCUGAGAUCCCAGGCAGUGAUAUUUAUCAUUUCCUUCAUUAAGAAGAGAGCAAAGCCUCCAAACCCUUUAUCAUCUGAUCUGAGUGCCAUGCAAGUCACUACCUUGAAAAUGAAAUAUGGCUUCUCAUCGUACCUCCAAGUAACAGCAAGGACCAAAUAGAAUUAAUGCAAGAAAAUAGAUAUUUUUAUGUAUAAGUCACCAGGGAGAAAGAGUAAAGAAGCAAGGAAAAUAAAGACAAGUAGGCUGAAGCUGCCCUGAAUCUCAAGACUAAACUCCAUCCCUCUCAGUGCAAACCUGUAGCACAUAGCACAGCAACAAAACCCUUACCCCUGGACGCAUCCCAGUGUGCAGAGCUGACGACGGAGUGCUGGGAGCUGCUGCUACCAGGGAAUUUAUUGCAGCUCUUAUCAGGAGAGGGUAUGAGCAUCUGUCUUCCAUGGAGAUGUGGUUGCAGCCCUGCAGCUCCUCCUGCGUCAGAGCAGGAUGAGGAACGGGGGCUCAUUUCCGUGUGAGUCAGAAUUUGAUAGAAUCAUAGGAUUUGAUAGAAUCACCCUACAUCUAACCCUAACACUAACCCUAACCCUAAUCCUACCCUAACCCUAACCCUACCCUAACCUAAAGCUAACCCUAUCCCUAACCCUAACCUAACCCUAACCCUUGUUUGAGUUGGAGGGGACCUUUAAAGGCUAUCUGGUCCAACUCCCCUACAGUGAGCAGGGACACCCACAGCUCCAUCAGGUGCUCAGAGCCCCAUGCAGCCUGACCUUGGGUGUCUCCA
rnacentral:lncRNA from 1 species